UGCCCUCUUAAAUCAGUCAAGCUAAUACUUUGAGAAGACUAGAAGAACACAGUAGAAGACAUAAUAUUAGAAGAUCAACCACUGAAGGGUCAGAAAGGAGAACAUUCCCCUUUAAGAGACUAUCAAUCUCAAAGUUUUAGAUCCAGACAGUCGAGAAGAAGCUCCCUAAACAGAAAUGCAUGUCAGCCGCAUGACAGAAUUGAGCAUAGCUACAGAAAAACAACUCUAAAUAUCCUGUAACUGAAACUGGUCCGGACUAUCACAAACUUCUGGACAUUCAGGACACCACGGGAUCACUCCUCCCAAUCUUGGAACCCAUACCCCAUCUCAGAGAGACUGUAGAGCUAUGUCACCUCCAGAACUAUCAAGAGAGGAGCAUCAUCCGCACACUUAAUCUCGAAGAGCUCAAGGCUCAAGGUCUCCACCACCA
rnacentral:lncRNA from 1 species